rnacentral:lncRNA from 1 species
AUGGGGCUGCCCGACUGCCCUGUGCCAAGGACCAUGCCUGGCCGCUGGGGCUGUGGGGCUGGAUUUGGGGCUGGAUUUGCAUCUCUGGGGGGAAAUGGCAGCCCCCGGGGGGCUUCCACACCAGCCUUCAGGCACUGUGGCCGCUGCUGGUCCCUGGGCUGGGUUCAGAGCCUUCCCUUCCCUUCCCUGGCAGGUCCACCACAUCUUGCAGGAGGUGGUGAUCGGUGGCAUGGUGCUGGAGACCAACAUGAACGAGAUCGUGGCGCAGGUGGAGGCCCAGAGCAAGCUGGAGAAGGCGGAGGGAGGCCUCUCGGCCGCUCCUUCCCGCGCUGUCUCAGCCGUGAAGAACAUCAACCUGCCAGAGAUCCCUCGCAACAUCAACAUCGGAGACAUCAACAUCAAAGUGCCCAACCUCUCACAGUUCAUGUGAGCGUCCCAUGGCUGGGGGGGCUGCCCGGGGGCACGGGCUGGGGCCUGGGCUGGAUGGGGAGCGGAGCUGGGCUCCCCUGGGCUCCCCCUGUCCCUCCUGGGGCUCUGCCCCUUGCGGGUCUCCGCUCCUGUGGCACCCGGAGUGCCUGGUGCGAUGCCAGCGUUUGGCAGAGGGGGGGGAGCGGUGAGGGGACUCUGUGGGAGCUGGUGGGGUGUCCCCCGCCUGUCUGUCAGCUCGCACCUGGGCUCAGCUCCGCUCUUCGGGCUCCCAACAACACGGGUGGCCUUUUUUCCCCUCCCUGCUCCCUCCCCGUGGACGCGCAGCCUCUCUCCUGGCUGGGGAAGAGCCAGUUCCUGCUUCUCCCAGAGCUUCUCGAGAUUCCUGGUUGUAAAAAUGCACUUGUAGCUGAUGGCUCCCGCAGGAGCCACAGGUUGUCACCUCCUCCCUGGGAUGGACUGUCCCGUGCCCUGCAUCCCUGUGCCCGCCCUGCUCCCCGUCGCUGGGUCUGGCCCCCCGCGAUGGGCUUGGGACCAGCCUGGUCGGGGUUGAGAGCGGGAGGGUCUGCCAGGUCUGGAGCUGGGGCUGGAGUGGGGGGAACCUGCUGGGCCGGGGGGUGCCGGGGGUCAGAGGGGGGCCACCUCCUGCCCUGCCUGGGCUGUGGGGCAGGGGAGCAGUGGGGCUGGGACCUCCUGGAGCAUGUCCCCAUGUCCCAAUAAACCACCCUGUGAACCUGCUGUGUCUGUGUCUGCCGUGAGGGGCUGCUGGACCAGCCCCGGGGGGAGCCCGGGAGGGGGCUGUGGCAGUCGGGGUCCUCUGCAGCACCUGUGGGGCGGCUGCAACCCUGGGGGGCUCUUGACGGUUGGGCAGGCAGGUGCUCAGGGGGAAAGAUGGUGCCCUGCUCCCCCUCUGGGGGAGGGCUGGGGUUGCUGCAGGGUGGGCUGUGGGGCAGGGUCCCUGGCUGUGCCCUAGGGGGCAUCCCUGGGCAGAGCAUCCCUGGUCUGCUCUUGGGGCAACUAUGAGCCCCGUAGGGCUCAGUGGGGCAUGUGAGGGCUGUGGGGCUGGAGCUAGUGUCCCUCCACAAGGCCUGGGGGAGUGGGGCUGGUCCUGGGGGUCCAUGGACUGAGUGUGGCUGCGGGGGACAGGCCAGGCAGGGGGCUCCCUGAGCAGAGGGGGCUCCUCAGGGCCCCAUCUGGCCACCAGCCUGGGGGCUGGCUCAGGGGCCCCUUCCUCUGCUUCCCCUCCGGCGGCCGGUCCAGCUGCGUCCCGCGGGCUCUGCCUCCACUUCCCCUGGCAGGGAAACCGUGACUCUGCCUGGAAGGAAUUUUCCUGUCGUCUCCCCUCCCUGCGGCUUAACCCUUCCCCAGCUGGCCAUGAGCCACUGCCAGGGGCCGUGGAGGUCAAGGAGCUGGGCAACCUCCUUCUUCCUCUUUUCCGCCAGCCCCCCUUCUCUUCCUCCUCUUCCUCCUCCUCCUCGUGCUGUCAGCUGCCGGAGCAGCGUGGUGCAGGGACCAGGUGAGCGGUGCUGUGUCCCAGGGGUGGCACACGGGGUCCGACGGGCACUGGGACAGUGGGAGGGGGAAACCCCGGCUUGCCCCAGGGUGAGGGACGCAGCGCGGAGCCCUCGUCCCGCUGCGGGGGCACUGGAGGCGUCGGGCUGGGGCAGGUGGUCCUGGCUGCGACGGGCCGUGCCCGUGCCCAGCCCUGUGCCGUGGCACG